rnacentral:rRNA from 1 species
AUUGAACGCUGGCGGCAUGCUUUACACAUGCAAGUCGAACGGUAACAGGCCGCAAGGUGCUGACGAGUGGCGAACGGGUGAGUAAUGCAUCGGAACGUGCCCAGUCGUGGGGGAUAACGCAGCGAAAGCUGCGCUAAUACCGCAUACGAUCUCUGGAUGAAAGCGGGGAACCGAAAGGCCUCGCGCGAUUGGAGCGGCCGAUGUCAGAUUAGGUAGUUGGUGGGGUAAAGGCUCACCAAGCCAACGAUCUGUAGCUGGUCUGAGAGGACGACCAGCCACACUGGGACUGAGACACGGCCCAGACUCCUACGGGAGGCAGCAGUGGGGAAUUUUGGACAAUGGGCGCAAGCCUGAUCCAGCAAUGCCGCGUGCAGGAAGAAGGCCUUCGGGUUGUAAACUGCUUUUGUACGGAGCGAAAAGGCUCUCUCUAAUACAGGGGGCUCAUGACGGUACCGUAAGAAUAAGCACCGGCUAACUACGUGCCAGCAGCCGCCGUAAGAC